rnacentral:rRNA from 1 species
GUAUUGACGGGGGGUCCCGCACCAGGCGGUGGAAGGCAUGUGGUUAAUACGGAAGGCAAUGCGAAAGAACCUUAACCAGGUCUUGACAUCCUCUGGACAACCCCUAGAGAUAGGGCUUUACCUUCGGGGGACAGAGUGAACAGGUGGUGCAUGGUAGUCGUCAGCUCGUGUCGUGAGAUGUUGGGUUUAAAGUCCCGCAACGAGCGCAACCCUUGAUCUUUAGUUGCCAGCAUUCAGUUGGGCACUCUAAAGGUGACUGCCGGUGACAAAACCGGAGGAAGGUGGGGAUGACGUCAAAAUCAUCAUGCCCCUUAUGACCUGGGCUACACACGUGCUACAAUGGACAGAACAAAGGGCUGCAAGACCGCAAGGUUUAGCCAAUCCCAUAAAUCUGUUCUCAGUUAGGAUCGCAGUCUGCAACUCGACUGCGUGAAGCUGGAAUCGCUAGUAAUCGCGGAUCAGCAUGCCGCGGUGAAUACGUUCCCGGGCCUUGUACACACCGCCCGUCACACCACGAGAGUUUGCAACACC